UACGUAGGGUGCAAGCGUUAUCCGGAAUUAUUGGGCGUAAAGAGCUCGUAGGCGGUUUGUCGCGUCUGCUGUGAAAACCCGAGGCUCAACCUCGGGUCUGCAGUCGAUACGGGCAAACUUGAGUGUUGCAGGGGAGACUGGAAUUCCUGGUGUAGCGGUGAAAUGCGCAGAUAUCAGGAAGAACACCAAUGGCGAAAGCAGCUUUCUGGGACGGUACUGACGCUGAGACGCGAAAGCGUGGGGAGCGAACAGG
rnacentral:rRNA from 1 species